rnacentral:rRNA from 1 species
CAGUUGGAACGACUGCUAAUACCGCAUAAUGUCUACGGACCAAAGGCGCCGCUUCGGCUCUCGCCUUUAGAUUGGCCCAAGUGGGAUUAGCUAGUUGGUGAGGUAAUGGCUCACCAAGGCGACGAUCCCUAGCUGGUUUGAGAGGAUGAUCAGCCACACUGGGACUGAGACACGGCCCAGACUCCUACGGGAGGCAGCAGUGGGGAAUAUUGCACAAUGGGCGCAAGCCUGAUGCAGCCAUGCCGCGUGUGUGAAGAAGGCCUUCGGGUUGUAAAGCACUUUCAGUCAGGAGGAAAGGUUAGUAGUUAAUACCUGCUAGCUGUGACGUUACUGACAGAAGAAGCACCGGCUAACUCCGUGCCAGCAGCCGCGGUAAUACGGAGGGUGCGAGCGUUAAUCGGAAUUACUGGGCGUAAAGCGUACGCAGGCGGUUUGUUAAGCGAGAUGUGAAAGCCCCGGGCUCAACCUGGGAACUGCAUUUCGAACUGGCAAACUAGAGUGUGAUAGAGGGUGGUAGAAUUUCAGGUGUAGCGGUGAAAUGCGUAGAGAUCUGAANGGNNANAUACCGANUGGNCGAAGGCAGCCACCUGGGUCAACACUGACGCUCAUGUACGAAAGCGUGGGGAGCAAACGGGNAUUAGAUACCCUGGUAGUCCACGCCGUAAACGAUGUCAACUAGCCGUUGGGUCCCUUGAGGACUUAGUGGCGCAGCUAACGCAAUAAGUUGACCGCCUGGGGAGUACGGCCGCAAGGUUAAAACUCAAAUGAAUUGACGGGGGCCCGCNACAAGCGGUGGAGCAUGUGGUUUAAUUCGAUGCAACGCGAAGAACCUUACCUNACCCUUGNACAUCCAGAGGANCUUUCCAGANGAUGGANUUGGUGNCCUUNCGGGAACUCUGAGANNCAGGNUGCNUGCNAUNGGCNUGNUCGUCNAGCUCNGUGUUGNUGNAAAUGUUGGGNUUAAGUNCCCGUAANCGAGNCNGCNAACCCCUNNAUNCNCNUUAUNUUNGNCCAGCGAGUAAUGUCGGGAACUCUAAGGAGACUGCCGGUGACAAACCGGAGGAAGGUGGGGACGACGUCAAGUCAUCAUGGCCCUUACGGGUAGGGCUACACACGUGCUACAAUGGCAAGUACAAAAGGGUUGCAAUACUGCGAAGUGGAGCCAAUCCCAUAAAGCUUGCCUCAGUCCGGAUUGGAGUCUGCAACUCGACUCCAUGAAAGUCGGAAUCGC